GAUGAACGCUGACAGAAUGCUUAACACAUGCAAGUCAACUUGAACUUCGGUUUGGGUGGCGGACGGGUGAGUAACGCGUAAAGAACUUGCCUCACAGAUAGGGACUACAUUUGGAAACGAAUGCUAAUACCUGAUAUUAUGAUUAUAUGGCAUCGUAUAAUUAUGAAAGCUAUAUGCGCUGUGAGAGAGCUUUGCGUCCCAUUAGCUAGUUGGAGAGGUAACGGCUCACCAAGGCGAUGAUGGGUAGCCGGCCUGAGAGGGUGAUCGGCCACAAGGGGACUGAGACACGGCCCUUACUCCUACGGGAGGCAGCAGUGGGGAAUAUUGGACAAUGGACCAAGAGUCUGAUCCAGCAAUUCUGUGUGCACGAUGAAGUUUUUCGGAAUGUAAAGUGCUUUCAGUUGGGAAGAAAAAAAUGACGGUACCAACAGGAGAAGUGACGGCUAAAUACGUGCCAGCAGCCGCCGUAAUAC
rnacentral:rRNA from 1 species